rnacentral:rRNA from 1 species
CCUACGGGGGGCAGCAGUGGGGAAUAUUGCACAAUGGGGGAAACCCUGAUGCAGCGACGCCGCGUGAGUGAAGAAGUAAUUCGUUAUGUAAAGCUCUAUCAGCAGGGAAGAAAAUGACGGUACCUGAGUAAGAAGCCCCGGCUAACUACGUGCCAGCAGCCGCGGUAAUACGUAGGGGGCAAGCGUUAUCCGGAUUUACUGGGUGUAAAGGGAGCGUAGACGGCAGUGCAAGUCUGGAGUGAAAGGCGGGGGCGCAACCCCCGGACUGCUCUGGAAACUGUACGGCUGGAGUGCAGGAGAGGUAAGUGGAAUUCCUAGUGUAGCGGUGAAAUGCGGAGAUAUUAGGAGGAACACCAGUUGCGAAGGCGGCUCUCUGGACUGUAACUGACACUGAGGCACGAAAGCGUGGGGAGCAAACAGGAUUAGAUACCCGUGUAGUC